rnacentral:rRNA from 1 species
AACGAACGUUAGCGGCGCGCCUAACACAUGCAAGUCGAACGCGAGAGGGGCAACUCUCUUGAGUGGCGCACGGGUGAGUAACACGUAGGUAAUCUCCCCCCGAGUGGUGGAUAACCUUCCGAAAGGAGGGCUAAUACAGCAUAAGACCACGGCUUCGAAAGGAGCUGAGGUCAAAGCGGAGGAUCGCAAGACUUCGCGCUUGGGGAUGAGCCUGCGGCCCAUCAGGUAGUUGGCGGGGUAAAAGCCCACCAAGCCUAAGACGGGUAGCUGGUCUGAGAGGAUGAUCAGCCACACUGGAACUGAGACACGGUCCAGACUCCUACGGGAGGCAGCAGUGGGGAAUCUUGCGCAAUGGACGAAAGUCUGACGCAGCGACGCCGCGUGGGUGAUGAAGGCCUUCGGGUUGUAAAGCCCUGUGGGGAGGGACGAAUAAGUGUCGGUUAAUACCCGGCGCGAUGACGGUACCUCCUUAGCAAGCACCGGCUAACUCUGUGCCAGCCGCCGCGGUAA